GCCCUGUGAAGUUCGAAAAUUUUGUAUAUAUUUGCAUAACGCUGUUGACCACUACUGUUGACCAGCGCUGUUGACCAGUGCUGUUCAUGCCCAGUGCUGUUGACCACUAUUACGCGCGGGAAAAAUAACCAUUUUUAGAUGAACAUUUAGAAACCAAUCUUUGCAGUUUUACUCAUUCUAAGACGCUCUUUCUAGCUGUGGUGUUGGAUUUCGUUC